rnacentral:rRNA from 1 species
CCAAUAGCGUAUAUUAAAGUUGUUGCAGUUAAAAAGCUCGUAGUUGAAUUUCGGGAUCAAUAUAUCGGUCGUGCCUUGGUACGUACUGGUAUCAUUGAUUUCUCCCUUCUGACGAACCAUGAUGUCAUUAAUUUGGUGUUAUGGGGAGUUAGGACUGUUACUUUGAAAAAAUUAGAGUGUUUAAAGCAAGCAUUAGCUUGAAUACAUUAGCAUGGAAUAAUGAAAUAGGACGUUUGACCCUAUUUUGUUGGUUUCUAGGAUCGACGUAAUGAUUAAUAGGGAUAGUUGGGGGCAUUAGUAUUCAAUUGUCAGAGGUGAAAUUCUUGGAUUUAUUGAAGACUAACUACUGCGAAAGCAUUUGCCAAGGAUGUUUUCAUUAAUCAAGAACGAAAGUUAGGGGAUCGAAGACGAUCAGAUACCGUCGUAGUCUUAACCAUAAACUAUGCCGACUAGGGAUCGGAUGAUGUUAAUUUUAUAAUGACUCA